rnacentral:rRNA from 1 species
AGAAUCAACGCUGGCGGCGUGCCUAACACAUGCAAGUCGAACGAGAAAGUGGAGCAAUCCAUGAGUAAAGUGGCGACCGGGUGAGUAACACGUGACUAACCUACCUUCGAGUGGGGAAUAACCUCGGGAAACCGGGGCUAAUACCGCAUAAUGUCUUCGGACCAAAGGAGCAAUUCGCUUGAAGAGGGGGUCGCGGCCGAUUAGCUAGUUGGCGGGGUAACGGCCCACCAAGGCGAUGAUCGGUAGCCGGCCUGAGAGGGCGCACGGCCACACUGGAACUGAAGCACGGUCCAGACUCCUACGGGAGGCAGCAGUGGGGAAUUUGCGCAAUGGGGGAAACCCUGACGCAGCAACGCCGCGUGGAGGAUGAAGCCCCGUUGGGGUGUAAACUCCUUUCGAUCGGGACGAUUAUGACGGUACCGGAUGAAGAAGCACCGGCUAACUCUGCGCCAGCAGCCGC